rnacentral:rRNA from 1 species
CCUACGGGUGGCAGCAGUGGGGAAUAUUGCACAAUGGAGGAAACCCUGAUGCAGCAACGCCGCGUGAGUGAAGAAGUUCUUCGGAAUGUAAACCUCUAUCUGUGGGGAAGAAAAUGACGGUACCUGAAUAAGAAGCCCCGGCUAACUACGUGCCAGCAGCCGCGGUAAUACGUAGGGAGCGAGCGUUAUCCGGAAUUACUGGGUGUAACGGGAGCGUAGACGGGAGGGCAAGUUGAAUGUGAAAUCCAGGGGCUAAACUCGGGGCUGCGUUUGAAACUUCAUGUCUGGAGUGCAGGAGAGGCAGGCGGAAUUCCUAGUGUAGCGGUGAAAUGCGUAGAUAUUAGGAAGAACACCAGUGGCGAAGGCGGCUUGCUGGACAGUAACUGACGUUGAGGCUCGAAAGCGUGGGGAGCAAACAGGAUUAGAUACCCGAGUAGUC